rnacentral:lncRNA from 1 species
UUUUACUCAGUCUUUCGUUGAAGAUUGUUUUUCUCUGGUUGAAAGAAGUGUUUUUCAAGAGCGCUGACCAAUUCAUCCAGUUCUUUCUUCAGCUGCUCAACAUCACUGUUUCCAGGAGGUGCACAAAGUUCCGAAUAGUAUUUGAUUUUUGGUUCUGUUCCACUGGUUCGCAUUGUGGCCACUCCUCCAUUAGCAAAAGUGAAUGUAAUCAUUUGGCUACUUUUACUUGUAGGAAGAAUUGCUUUUAGAUCUGGCUGGCUGCUGUCAUACCCAGUAGUUAAAUCCCUUAUUCCAGAAACUUUAAAUCUACCACAAGAUUUUGGAUAUGUGUCUUUU